GUCAGCUCGUGUUGUGAAAUGUUGGGUUAAGUCCCGCAACGAGCGCAACCCUUAUCCUUUGUUGCCAGCGGUCCGGCCGGGAACUCAAAGGAGACUGCCAGUGAUAAACUGGAGGAAGGUGGGGAUGACGUCAAGUCAUCAUGGCCCUUACGACCAGGGCUACACACGUGCUACAAUGGCGCAUACAAAGAGAAGCGACCUCGCGAGAGCAAGCGGACCUCAUAAAGUGCGUCGUAGUCCGGAUUGGAGUCUGCAACUCGACUCCAUGAAGUCGGAAUCGCUAGUAAUCGUGGAUCAGAAUGCCACGGUGAAUACGUUCCCGGGCCUUGUACACACCGCCCGUCACACCAUGGGAGUGGGUUGCAAAAGAAGUAGGUAGCUUAACCUUCGGGAGGGCGCUUACCACUUUGUGAUUCAUGACUGGGGUGAAGUCGUAACAAGGUAACCGUAGGGGAACCUGC
rnacentral:rRNA from 3 species